rnacentral:rRNA from 1 species
AUUGUCAUACUUUUAAAGAUGAACCACAUGCAAUAAGUUAAGCUGUUUUAGAUCCUUGAUCCAAUAGAACAUUCAUCACACGAUUGGUGAACAUGUGUGUGUUUGUUUUAAUUAUGAAUCGGUACGAAAUGUACCAAGGAAAAGAUAAUACCGUCACUCCUUUAAAUGAGAAACAUUGAUUUUCUUUUACAAGUGUGGAGAUUUAAUCAAUAAUCAAAUGACUUCCAACAAUGGAUAUCUUGACUCUCGUAUCGAUGAAGAACGUAGCAAAAUGCGACACAUGGUGUGAAUUGCAGAAUUCCGCGAAUCAUUGAGUUUUUGAACGCAAGUUGCGCCCAAGGCCAAUUAUAGGUUUAGGGCAUGCUUGCUUGGGUGUCGUGUAUAAGCCAUCUAAAUAUUUUUUUCCAGGACUUACUGAUGGAUGGACUUAUUUGGUUGUGUGCGUUGUCCUCUCGUUCACUUAGAUUGUGUUGGAUUGGAUGAAAUACUAGCAUCCUCGGCAUUAAAUGCCUUACAUGUUUUGGUUAACAUUGUAUGGUAUUAAUGUUAUCAAGUUAAAACUAAAGGCCAAAUAGAACCUCGAUCUUAUUCUCAAAAAAUGAGAGAAACCUUUUGACCUCAGGUCAAGCA